rnacentral:rRNA from 1 species
GACGAACGCUGGCGGCGUGCCUAAUACAUGCAAGUAGAACGCUGAAGCUUGGUGCUUGCACCGAGCGGAUGAGUUGCGAACGGGUGAGUAACGCGUAGGUAACCUGCCUGGUAGCGGGGGAUAACUAUUGGAAACGAUAGCUAAUACCGCAUAAGAGUAGAUGUUGCAUGACAUUUGCUUAAAAGGUGCAAUUGCAUCACUACCAGAUGGACCUGCGUUGUAUUAGCUAGUUGGUGAGGUAACGGCUCACCAAGGGAACGAUACAUAGCCGACCUGAGAGGGUGGUCGGCCACACUGGGACUGAGACACGGCCCAGACUACUACGGGAGGCAGCAGUAGGGAAUCUUCGGCAAUGGACGGAAGUCUGACCGAGCAACGCCGCGGGAGUGAAGAAGGGUUUCGGAUCGUAAAGCUCUGUUGUAAGAGAAGAACGAGUGUGAGAGUGGAAAGUUCACACUGUGACGGUACCUUAACAGAAAGGGACGGCUAACUACGUG